UGGGGAAUAUUGCACAAUGGGGGAAACCCUGAUGCAGCGACGCCGCGUGAGCGAAGAAGGUCUUCGAAUCUUAAAGCUCUGUCCUAUGAGAAGAUAAUGACGGUAUCAUAGGAGGAAGCCCCGGCUAAAUACGUGCCAGCAGCCGCGGUAAUACGUAUGGGGCGAGCGUUGUCCGGAUUUAUUGGGCGUAAAGCGAGCGCAGGCGGUUAGAAAAGUCUGAAGUGAAAGGCAGUGGCUCAACCAUUGUAGGCUUUGGAAACUGUUUAACUUGAGUGCAGAAGGGGAGGGUGGAAUUCCAUGUGUAGCGGUGAAAUGCGUAGAUAUAUGGAGGAACACCGGUGGCGGAAGCGGCUCUCUGGUCUGUAUCAAACGCUGAGGCUCGAAAGCGUGGGGAGCGAACAGG
rnacentral:rRNA from 1 species